ACUAUAAAAAUGUUAUAAUUUAAUUAACACUUAAUGUAUGGUAUCGGAUCGCAGAAAUAAAAACGAACGCAUACGUAUCGUGAUGACCCGCGCUAACUUUUGCCGGCUUAAAUCUAGUUUUGCGUAAUGUCACGGAACACCCGGCUCAAGUUCAAAGCAGGAUUUUGUGUUUAUUCGCGGAUUACCAUGGAUUUUAAACAAUGUCUAGAGCAAGAUAUUAGCAAAAGAAAGGGGAAACUGAAAGGCCUGUCAAAAAUGUGUAUUGUUUGUGUAAGCACCAACAGGACUACGGAAUACUUUUGAAGGAAACCAUAUGUCAGAUACAUUUUCUAUACUCUGGACCAAUGGAAGGAUCCCUUACUAGUUUCCAUAAUUUGAUGUGUGCUGCCAGUUCACAAUAAUUUAUUACAAUGCUACUCCAAACCUUGAAGAAGAAGACUAACUCAACCAAGAUAUUGACUAUUAAUUACAAUGCUACCCAACCUCAUAGAAAACUUUCCCAAUCAGGAUAUUGACCUGUCUUUUUGAACCUGCUCUAAGAUUUCUGAUAAGUUAGGACCUAGACAUUUCCAGAAGUUGACAUUGAUCAAUAACUAACUAGAAGAAAUAAAUUUACUGAUAACAAGUAAAUUUAGGCUAAGCAUGUCAUGAUUAGGGAGCAGAGUAACAAAACUAGAUGAACAUCACAAAGCUAACAGUUAGGAUCAUUUAUAAAGAAUUUUAGUUUAAUUAGUUAUCUUACUUCAUCAGUGUUAAAAAGGCAUGAAAUUUCUUCUUAGUAAGUAUAUAAUUAAAGUAAUAGUAUAGUUAUUUAAUUUUUUAUAACAAAGUAAUGCUAACAUGUUUCCUACACAAUUUAUAUUACUUUCUUAAAAGUAAGGACACUUUUUGCAAGAUGUUAGGUAAUGAAAAUUCUUGAUUUUGGGCGUUAAGGAAGGAUGCCUUAUAUUGUUUUGCAGAAUGAUUAUUUUAUGUUUCUGUGUUUAUUAUAUAUUAAGAACAUCAUGUGCUUUAAGAUGGUGUA